rnacentral:rRNA from 1 species
UACGUAGGGUGCGAGCGUUUGUCCGGAAUUAUUGGGCGUAAAGGGCUCGUAGGCGGUUUGUCGCGUCGGGAGUGAAAACCAGGUGCUUAACACCUGGCUUGCUUUCGAUACGGGCAGACUAGAGGUAUUCAGGGGAGAACGGAAUUCCUGGUGUAGCGGUGAAAUGCGCAGAUAUCAGGAGGAACACCGGUGGCGAAGGUGGUUCUCUGGGAAUGACCUGACGCUGAGGAGCGAAAGUGUGGGGAGCGAACAGG